UUUCUCUAAUUACAGCCUCUUUUUGUUCUCCCCAGCCAGUUUCUUAGAGCACAACCUGAUAUUUAAGCCUGCCUCCAUGCAUCAGUUCAACUUACUCUUCUUCUAAUAUGAUGGUUCUGGAAAAUAUGAAGUUGGUCCAGCCACACCUUCAGUACCUUCUCUCAUUUCCACUGAAGUUUAUGGGAGGAAAGAAAUGCAGAGCUAAUGGGACGAGUGCACCCCUGGUUCAGCUUCACCGAGACUAGAGGAGUUAACGCGAGG
ensembl:lncRNA